rnacentral:rRNA from 1 species
GAGCAGGUGCGAAAGCAGGUCAUAGUGAUCCGGUGGUUCUGAAUGGAAGGGCCAUCGCUCAACGGAUAAAAGGUACUCCGGGGAUAACAGGCUGAUACCGCCCAAGAGUUCAUAUCGACGGCGGUGUUUGGCACCUCGAUGUCGGCUCAUCACAUCCUGGGGCUGAAGUAGGUCCCAAGGGUAUGGCUGUUCGCCAUUUAAAGUGGUACGCGAGCUGGGUUUAGAACGUCGUGAGACAGUUCGGUCCCUAUCUGCCGUGGGCGCUGGAGAACUGAGGGGGGCUGCUCCUAGUACGAGAGGACCGGAGUGGACGCAUCACUGGUGUUCGGGUUGUCAUGCCAAUGGCACUGCCCGGUAGCUAAAUGCGGAAGAGAUAAGUGCUGAAAGCAUCUAAGCACGAAACUUGCCCCGAGAUGAGUUCUCCCUGACUCCUUGAGAGUCCUGAAGGAACGUUGAAGACGACGACGUUGAUAGGCCGGGUGUGUAAGCGCAGCGAUGCGUUGAGCUAACCGGUACUAAUGAACCGUGAGGCUUAACCUUACAACGCCGAAG